rnacentral:rRNA from 1 species
UAUUGGGCGUAAAGCGCGCGUAGCGGUUUUUAAGUCUGAUGUGAAAGCCCACGGCUCAACUGUGGAGGGUCAUUGGAAACUGGAAAACUUGAGUGCAGAAGAGGAAAGUGGAAUUCCAUGUGUAGCGGUGAAAUGCGCAGAGAUAUGGAGGAACACCAGUGGCGAAGGCGACUUUCUGGUCUGUAACUGACGCUGAUGUGCGAAAGCGUGGGGAUCAAACAGGAUUAGAUACCCUGGUAGUCAAGGGCG